CUCUCACUCUCUCCGUUGUUUCGGCCGCACGUCUCUUCUCCACUUUCCCCUCCAUUUUACAUUUAUACCCCUCCGCGGUCUUCACCAAUUUUGUUCUCGGCCUCGAUUCCGACCCCUCUCCGUCCUCCCCAUGGCCAUGGGGCUCUCCACCGCCAAACCCUACCGCCGACGCCUCUUCCUCCUCCUACUCCGGUGCACGAGAACCGCCGAACCCUCGCCAAAAUGUCCCCAUCACCGCCCCUUGUCCUGUUCCUCCCCCGCCGCCGCUGCCGAACCCACCCACCUCCGCCGCAUAUUCCGCCCCGGCGAUCCCAACAGGUUCGCGCCCGGAAUUCUCGACGCUUUUUGGGGCGUGCGGCGGUUCUCCACCUCUGUCGAUCCGAUCUCUGGCGGCGAUAAGAACCUCGAGAGGAUUUUCAUCCAGAACAUGUCCGUGAAGCCCAUCGUGGUCGAUGGAGUUGAUGCCGUGCCGAUUGAGGAUGAGAGGAAAGAAGAGGUUGAUACGGUAGUGGCGGACGUGGAGGAGGGAAAAGAGGAGCUUUGCGGUGGUAAGGUUGAGGAUUUGGACCAAUUGGAGGGUGGCUUGGAAGUACGGCAGGAGAAAGAGCAGUCGGAGGUGGAGAAGGAGGCCUGGAGGCUUUUGGACAGGGCAGUCGUGAGCUAUUGCGGGAGACCAAUUGGCACCGUGGCUGCCAAUGAUGUGACGGCGGCGAACCAAGCUGUGAACUACGAUCAGGUGUUUAUCAGGGACUUCGUACCAUCUGCCCUAGCUUUCCUGCUUAAGGGGGAAAGCGAGAUCGUCCGCAAUUUCCUCCUCCAUACUUUGCAGCUUCAGAGCUGGGAGAAAACAGUUGACUGCUACAGCCCUGGACAAGGGCUGAUGCCGGCUAGCUUUAAAGUGAGAACUGUACCUUUGGAUGGAAGUAAUGAAGCAUUUGAAGAGGUUUUGGAUCCUGAUUUUGGAGAGUCAGCAAUUGGACGUGUAGCACCAGUUGAUUCUGGACUAUGGUGGAUUAUACUGCUAAGAGCAUAUGGAAAGAUAACUGGGGAUUAUGCAUUACAAGAGAGAGUGGAUGUACAAACAGGCAUCAGGUUGAUUUUAAAUUUAUGUUUGUCAGAUGGCUUUGACAUGUUCCCAUCUCUAUUGGUCACAGAUGGUUCAUGCAUGAUAGAUCGAAGGAUGGGUAUCCAUGGUCACCCUCUUGAGAUCCAAGCAUUGUUCUAUUCAGCUUUGCGGUGCUCUCGUGAAAUGAUCACUUUUAAUGAUGGAUCUAAAAAUCUGGUACGUGCUAUUAAUAACAGGCUCAGUGCUCUGUCUUUCCACAUUAGGGAGUAUUAUUGGGUUGAUAUGAAGAAGAUAAAUGAGAUUUAUCGCUACAAGACCGAAGAGUACUCCCAUGAUGCUAUUAACAAGUUCAAUAUUUAUCCUGAACAAAUUCCAUCUUGGCUAGUUGAAUGGAUGCCUGAUAAAGGUGGCUAUUUUAUUGGCAAUCUCCAGCCAGCUCACAUGGAUUUCAGGUUCUUCUCCCUUGGUAAUUUUUGGGCUAUUGUUUCUUCACUAGCCACACCAAGACAGGCAGAUGGCAUUCUCAAUUUAAUUGAAGAUAAAUGGGAUGAUAUUGUGGGACGUAUGCCACUCAAAAUAUGCUACCCUUCUUUAGAAUACGAGGAAUGGCGUAUAAUCACUGGCAGUGAUCCAAAGAACACGCCGUGGUCAUAUCACAAUGGUGGAUCUUGGCCUACACUUCUGUGGCAGUUCACAUUGGCUUGCAUUAAGAUGGGUAGGCCAGAGUUAGCACAAAGAGCUGUUGCAGUGGCUGAGAAGAGAUUGCCAAAUGACAAGUGGCCAGAAUAUUACGACACACGUAGUGGAAGAUUUAUUGGGAAGCAAUCACGGCUGUAUCAGACGUGGACCAUAGCUGGAUUCCUUACUGCCAAAAUGCUUCUGGAAAAUCCAGCUGCAGCAGCUGUAUUGACAUGCGAUGAAGAUCUUGAGCUUCUUCAAGGCUGUGCUUGUAGUCUAAGCAAGAAUGCCCGAAUCAAGUGCUCCCGCCUUGCAGCCAAAUCACAGGACAUGAAAUAGAGGGUGGAUUCAUUUCAUGCUGGGAUAAUACUGAUAGACCUCAGAGUGUAAUACUUGAAUCAUAUUUUCGAAUACAAGGUGCAGUUAGGCGGCUGCAGAAAUCGAAUUAUCAACUCACAAGAGAACAUCUCAUUGAAGCAAUAUCAUGAAUAUUGCAGUUUGUUCUACCUUUUCCUUGGUUUCUUUGGUGUUCCGAUGAGAUCUGGUUGCAGUAUCAUGGAUAGUUUCUUGAUGAAGUUGUUUUCUGGAAUCUGGAGUACCAUCAAAGAUCUCACCAAACCCCUCACGAAGAGUCUGUACGCUUUCACCUUCAAGGCCGCAAUGGAGUAAAGCCCGACUUCAGUGCAUGCAUGUGCAUGUCGACAGACUCGUACAAGCUCAUACACCACCACCAUGCUUUUCUUUGGCCACUGAGUUGGAGCAUUCAUUCGGCUAUAACUUCCUUCGCAUGUGAUCUGCUGAUUCCAUGUCAGACAUAUCUGAAUUCCCAAAUCUGCACUCGACGCAGAUUGAGGCAAAAAAGAAAAAGAAAAAGGUAAAUUGGUACAUCACUGAGGCCUCUCUCUCCGGUAUAAGUAGGUAUGGAGAGUGGAGCAAAGGUCCGUUGAACAUGGAGAAGUCGAGCAUGGUGGUGGUGCUGUUCCUUGCAUUGUUUCUGUCUUCCUUUGCCGGAGGCCUUGAAGCAAGAGAACUCAAGAACGAGCCCAUGUCGUACCAGCCUCAGAACUUCCCUGGAGCAUUUGGAGGCUUCCCGGGCUUUAGUUUCGGCCAGCCACUCCGUGGAUCCAUCCCCACCAUUCCGGGCUUCGGAAACUUGCCAGGGAUUCCCGGCGGCGGCAUUGGCGGCCAUCAGGUUGCUACGCCAUGAUCGAGUGGGCAGUGCCAUCAAGCUCGUGCUGUGAUCAUAAAUCGUAUGUGUGAAGAGCAGCUAUAUAUAUGUAGGUUGCUGCGGUUGUGGUUUCUUGCUUUGUGAUCAGGAAAGAGUUGUGAGAGAGUUCUAAGUUAGCUCUUGGUUUGCUGUGUGUUGUUUGCCUGCAUGCUAAUGUUGUGAUUGCUUUCGUCUUUC